AGUAACGCGUGAGGAACCUGCCUCAAAGAGGGGGACAACAGUUGGAAACGACUGCUAAUACCGCAUAAGCCCACGGCUCGGCAUCGAGCAGAGGGAAAAGGAGCAAUCCGCUUUGAGAUGGCCUCGCGUCCGAUUAGCUAGUUGGUGAGGUAACGGCCCACCAAGGCGACGAUCGGUAGCCGGUCUGAGAGGACGACCAGCCACACUGGGACUGAGACACGGCCCAG
rnacentral:rRNA from 1 species